GGCCAUGUAGCUCAGCCGGUUAGAGCACGGCACUCAUAAGGCUGGGGUCAUACGCGGUACAAUUUCGAAUUCUGGCUA
rnacentral:tRNA from 1 species